rnacentral:rRNA from 1 species
UCGAGAAUCUUCGGCAAUGGGCGCAAGCCUGACCGAGCGACGCCGCGUGGAGGAUGAAGGCCUUCGGGUUGUAAACUCCUGUCGAGGGGGAGGAAGGGGAGACCUUGACCGAUCCCUGGAGGAAGCACGGGCUAAGUUCGUGCCAGCAGCCGCGGUAAGACGAACCGUGCGAACGUUAUUCGGAAUCACUGGGCUUAAAGCGCGUGUAGGCGGGCGGGUACGUCGGCGACUGAAAGCCCCCGGCUCAACCGGGGAAGGGGUGCCGAAACGGCCGGCCUGGAGGGGCGUAGGGGGACCUGGAACUUCCGGUGGAGCGGUGAAAUGCGUUGAGAUCGGAAGGAACGCCCGUGGCGAAAGCGAGGUCCUGGACGCCAACUGACGCUGAGACGCGAAAGCCAGGGGAGCGAACG